GUUGCUUAGGAACCCACAUAGAUUAUGAAACUAUGGAUAGAUACUACACCCUGGACCAGCCCAUCACACUGAGAAAUGCAACGGUGAGUUCUUCACCCAAUGCCGACCAACGAGCACACCCAGUGACAACUGCAGUGGCCUGAGAACACAAGACUGAGGUAUAGGGAUGACAGAGAAAAGAGGAAAUAAAGCAAAUAAAACAUGCAAAUUAUUUAUAUUAGCUAAACAAGGGAGAAAUUUGUUUAUGCAAAGCAGUUGGCAUCCACAAAG